CUACAAUGUUGGUGCGUAUGUGUCAGUUGAUGAGCAGCUCAUCCCAUGCAAAGGACGUUGCAGUUUCUGGCAGAACAUGCGCAAAUAAACGGAUAAAUACGACAUGAAACUGUUUCGUCGUGAAGGCGAUCGGCGAUGUACGGGAUUGGCAGACCUUGUAGUGAAGAAAUUGGUAGAGCCAAGUUGUAAACUGGUUUACAAGUGCAAAACCCACAGGUGAUUUGCUCUGCAAAAAAUUAUCUUGCUGGGGACAGUAUGCUAAGACAAGCCAGAAGUUCUGCCUGCAUUUCCUGCCUGUAACAGGAGACCUCUGGGAUCAAGCCUGUUUGGUUUUUGCCAAAAGCAAGCCAUGGUGUCCCAUGCGCCAAAAAAAACCCCAAGGUGGUUGUACUUUUAUCCAGCAUACAAGACUAAAAAGAGGUCAAUGAGGGAAGAAUGUGAUGAUUCUAGACUACGACAAUGGGGUCAGUGGUAGCUCAGAGGUUAAGACGUUGGACUACUGAUCGGAAGGUUGUGAGUUAAAAUGCCAGCACUGCCAAGCUGCCACUGCUGGGCCCUUGAGCAAUAAGCCCUUUGUAUAAAAUGAGAUAAAUGAUUUGCCCAUCAUCACUUGAUCCAAAACAGUGGACCGUGGGUGUGGCCAGCCAUGCUGCAAUGACCACCAGAGAGUCAGUGUCAUUAAUGACUAUUGUUCUCAUAGAAAAAACCAGCCUACUAAUAAAAUUCCACAAAUUAGAAAUCAAUUUACAAAGAGUGCCCAAAAAAUGUUAAUGUGUAAUAGUUUCAUUUAUCACGAAUGUGUUUCAUUCAUUGUGUAAAUGAAAAUGUUUUAUAUUUAAAUGUGUUUUUGUUUUCUUAUUGUUGUUGAAGACAUUUGAUGACAAAUAAAAUGUAAAAAUAUAAGGAAAUUUUUAUACUAUUGGGGCAGUUUAGAGAUCCAUCCGUGUUAGAUAUAUAUUCCGGCUCGUUAAAGAUCUGAAUAUUUAAUAACUAUUGGCCAAACAUUUAUGCAUUUAAGGGUUAAUAUGUAUUCAAUAUGGAGGUUU
ensembl:lncRNA